CCUACGGGAGGCAGCAGUGAGGAAUAUUGGUCAAUGGCCGUAAGGCUGAACCAGCCAAGUAGCGUGAGGGAAGACUGCCCUAUGGGUUGUAAACCCCUUUUAGGCGGGGAUAAAGGUGUCCAUGUGCGUAUGUUUGCAGGUACCGCAUGAAUAAGGACCGGCUAAUUCCGUGCGAGCAGCCGCGGUAAUACGGAAGGUUCGGGCGUUAUCCGGAUUUAUUGGGUUUAAAGGGAGCGUAGGCCGGUCUUUAAGCGUGCCGGGAAAUUUUGUGGCUCAACCAUGAGAGUGCGGCGGGAACUAGUGACCUUGAGUGCGCGGAAGGCAGGCGGAAUUCGUGGUGUAGCGGUGAAAUGCUUAGAUAUCACGAAGAACCCCGAUUGCGAAGGCAGCCUGCUGCAGCGUUACUGACGCUGAAGCUCGAAAGCGCGGGUAGCGAACAGGAUUAGAUACCCGAGUAGUC
rnacentral:rRNA from 1 species